ACCCAGGUAGCUCAGUGGUAAAGAAUCUGCCUGCCAAGCAGGAGACCUGGGUU
rnacentral:tRNA from 1 species